AGCCCCUCGCCGGCUUGCUGUAGAGGCAGGCGCCGGGUGUGUCGCGGCAGUGCAGCGGCCGCGAAGGGGUGUUUUGCUGUAUGUCAUAUUCCUCGUUUCGCCAGAGCGGGGGUCCCGAGCUUCGGGCGCGGGACGCGGGGGUGCUCCGAGGCUGCGAGUGGAGGCGUGACGUGACGUCCCUGGCAAGAGGCGCGCGGAGUCAGGCCUUACUUAGAACGUGUUCCCGCCGCACAGCUACCAGCGGGCGCGACCGCUACCCACGCAUGGUGCGGUCGAGUAAACGGCACCGCCUGGCGAGCGAGAGACGCAAAGGGACAUAGCCCCCUAGGAGCUGAGCUCUUCGGGGGUAAAGCGUUCUCACGUUGAUGAGACCAGGAGGCGGCGCACGCCUGGCUCCGCGGCCCAGGGGUUGCAGGUGCCCCAGGGUUCGCGGGGCGCAGACGCCGCAGAGGGCGACGCCCUGCCCGGGUCCCGCGCGGACCCGGGGGACGCAGGGUCUGACACGGAGUGCGGAGGGGCCCCAGACACGCAGUCCAUGUCCCUUGAAACCAGAGGCACGCGCGGCCACGCGCUAGGCCUUUCCCUUAAGCCUGUGACCAAGAUCUCCGGGACUCCCAGCGUUGGGACGGGCGCGCUGGCCCACGCCCAAGCGGGAGGAUCGCUUGCGCCCAGGAGAUUGAGACCAGCCUGAGCACCAAAGCGAGACCUCGUCUCUACAAAAAAUAAGACUCAAGAAGACACCCAGGGUGAAUCGCCCGUCUGCAGCCAGCCUCCCGAGCACCGUGGCCGCGUCUGACAACUGACCUCUGUGUCUGGGUGUCCCUGUCCUCAGAGGGACACGGGACCUCAGAAAGGACCACAGCCCGGCGGCAGGCAUGAUGGUGGGAAAGCUAGUUAGGACAGGUGAGGCACUAAAUUUAGCCUGUCAUAAUUUGUAUCAGGGAAAUGAUGAACUUGUAUUUUUACACACCAUGGGCACCAACACAAGAUAUGGUUUCGUAAGCAGCUUUGGCAAGAACCAAAGGAACGGAACCUCUGCUUCCAAGUGUACGGUCAGGAGCAGCGUGUUAAUUAAGUGAGUCAUCUUCCGUGGCAGAAUCCCAGGGUACAUGGGACCAGACUUCGCGAGGCUGGCAUUAGGAAAAGGAAUGUGAGGGAUCCUCCUCCCCAAACCGUAUUCUCAUUUUCUUGUAAGAGCUGUACGUGUUCAUGAGGAAGAUACUGCAUUCAAAGAACGAAAUCACCAGCAGCUUUGGCAAGAAUUCAAAUUUGGGCUGAUGCCUUCGGCCGGAUAAAAUUUUCAGAAGCAGUGAUAGUGAUGUGUCAACCUUUCUAAAUAGGGGUGUUAGUGUGGGCGAGGCAGAGACAGCAGGCUCCCUCUGCUUUUAUGUGCCGGCGCUGCCAGAGGCAGAAGGCUGGCUUUCUGAGAGCAGGGGCCCGCACGCUCUGUCUGUGCUAGGGCUGGAAAACGUCCAUUGCGUGCCCGGCUGGUGUCCUCCAUGGAACCACAGCCUGGAAGCCUGCACCUCCCUGCCUGGACCAGUUAGAGGCUGUUCAUGAAAGACUAAAGGGACAAGUUCCCGUCUAUCCGUCUGCUGUUCAGAGCUACUAUCUGUGUCCCCUUUGUAGGCUGUGGGCUGUAGCAGUUCCUUCUUUUCUUUUCUUUUCUUUUUUUUCCCCGAGACAGGGUUUUGCUCUGUUGCCCAGGCUGCAGUGCAGUGGUGCGACCAUAGCUCACGGCAGCCUCAACCUCCUAGGCUCAAGAGAUCCUCCCACCUUAGGCCAGGUGUGGUAGCUCAUGCCUGUAAUCCCAGGACUGUGGGAGGCUGAGGCGGGCGGAUCACGAGGUCAGAAAAUGGAGACCAUCCUGGCUAACACGGUGAAACCCCGUCUCUACUAAAAAUACAAAAAAACAAAAAUUAGCCAGGUGUGGUGGCAGGCACCUGUAGUCCCAGCUAUUUGGGAGGCUGAGGCAGGAGAAAGGCGUGAACCCGGGAGGCAGAGCUUGCAGCGAGCCAAGAUUGCACCAUUGCACUCCAGCCUGGAUGAUAGAGCAAGACUCCGUCUCCAAAAUAAAAAAUAAAAAUAGAAGAGAGAUCCUCCCACCUCAGCCUCUCCAGUAGCUGAGACCACAGAUCUGCAGCACCUUAUUAUCUUUUUUUUUUUUUUGAUAUGGAGUCUCACUCUGUCGCCCAGGCUGGAGUGCAAUGGCGCGAUCUCUGGUCACUGCAACCUCCGCCUCCCGGGUUCAAGUGAUUCCCCUACCUCAGCCUCCUGAGUAGCUGGGAUUACAGGCGUAUGCCACCAAGGCCGGCUAAUUUUUUGUAUUUUUAGUAGAGACCGGGGUUUCACCAUGUUGGUCAAGCUGGUCUCAAACUCCUGACCUCAAGUGAUCCGCCCACCUCGGCCUCCCAAAGUGCUGGGAUUAUUGGCAUGAGUCACCACACUUGGCCUCAACAUGCGUUUUGGAGGGUAUAAACAUUCAAAGCAUAGCCUCCAUCUUCUCACUCUGUCCUCACAUGUUGGAGAAAGAUUGUCUCUUUUGGGCUGGGCGUGGGAGCUCAUGCCUGUAAUUCCAGCACUUUGGGAGGCCGAGGCGGGUGGAUCACGAGGUCAGGAGUUCAAGACCAGCCUGGCCAAGAUGGUGAAACCCCGUAUCUACUAAAAAAUAGAAAAUUUAGGCCGGGCGCGGUUGCUCAGCCUAUAAUCCCAGCACUUUGGGAGGCAAGGUGGGCGGAUCACAAGGUCAAGAGAUCGAAAACAUCCUGGCAAACAUGGUGAAACCCUGUCUCUACUAAAAAUACAAAAAUUAGCCGGGUGUGGUGGCACCCACCUGUAGUCCCAGCUACUCGGGAGCCUGAGGGAGGAGAAUCGCUUGAACCUGGGAGGCAGAGGUUGCAGUGAGCGAAGAUCGCACCACUGCACUCCAGCCUGGCGACAGAGCGAGACUCCACCUAAAAAAUAUAUGUAUAUAUUAGCCGGCCGUGGUGGCGGGCACCUGUAAUCCCAGCUACUCAGGAGGCUGAGGCAAAGAAUUGCUUGAACCCGGGAGGUGGAGGUUGCAGUGAGUCAAGAUCACACCACUGUACUGCAGCCUGGGUGAUGGAGUGAGACUCUGUCUCAAAAAAAAAGAAAAAAAAUUAUCCGGGGGCGGUGGCGGGUGCGUGUAAUCCCAGCUACUCAGGAGGCUGAACAGGGUAAUCACUUGAGCCUGGGAGGCAGAGGUUGCAAUGAGCUGAGAUCCAGCCACUACACUCCAGCCUGGGCAACAGAGCGAGACUAUCUCAAAAAAAAAAAAAAGGCGGGCGUAAUGGCUCACGCCUGUAAUCCCAACACUUUAGGAGGCCAAGGCGGGUGGAUAACCUGAGGUCAGGAGUUCGAGACUAGCCUGGCCAACAUGGUAAAACCCUGUCUCUACUAAAAAUACAAAAACUAGCUGAGCGUGGUGGCGUGUCCUGUAAUCCCAGCUACCUGGGAGGCUGAGGCAGGAGAAUACUUGAACCCGGGAGGUGGAGGUUGCAGUGAGCCAAGAUCCCACCAUUGCACUCCAGCCUGGGCAACAAGAGGGAAACUCCAUCUCAAGGAAAACAAUAAAAUAAAAAUAAGGCUGGGCACGGUGCCUCACGCCUGUAAUCCCAGCACUCUGGGAGACCGAUGCGGGUGGAUUACCUGAGGUCAGGAGUUCAAGACCAGGCUUGCCAUGGUGAAACCCCAUCUCUACUAAAAAUACAAAAAAUUAGCCAGGCAUGGUGGUGCAUGCCUGUAAUCCCAGCUACUUGGGAGGCUGAGGCAGGAGAAUCACUAGAACCUGGGAGGCGGAGGUUGCAGUGAAUCGAGAUUGUGCCAUGGCACUCCAGCCUGGGCAGCAAGAGUGAAACUCCGUCUCAAAAAAAGAAAAAAGAAAAAAAAAGACUGUCUCUUCUAAUAAGGGCACUGUUCCCAUCGUGAGGGCCCCACCUUGCUGACCGUAUCUAACCCUAAUUAUUAUUAUUAUUAUUUUUUUUUGAGACGGAGUCUUGCUCUGUCGUCCAGGCUGAAGUGCAAUGGCGCCAUCUCAGCUCACUGCAAUCUCUGCCUCCCGGAUUCAUGCCAUUCUCCUGCCUCAGCCUCCCCAGUAGCUGGGACCACAGGCACCCGCCACCAUGCCUGGCUAAUUGUUUUGUAUUUUUACUAGAGCCGGGGUUUCACCGUGUUAACCAGGAUGGUCUCGAUCUCCUGAGCUCAUGAUCCACCCGCCUCGGCAUCCCAAAGUGCUGGGAUUACAGGCGUGAGCCACCGCGCCCGGCCCUAACCCUAAGUUAUACCUCCCAAAGACCUCAUCUCCAAAUACCAUCCCGUUGGCGUUAGGACUCCAAUAUAUAAAUUUUGGGGUAGCAACUGGGAAGA
rnacentral:lncRNA from 1 species